rnacentral:lncRNA from 1 species
CCCCCAACAGCGACCUGGAGCGAAUCACUCUGCCCAGCAUCAAUCGCCUGCGUCACUUCAUCAACGACACCAUCCUGGACGUUUUCUUCUACAACAGCUCCACCUAUUGCCAGACCAUCGUGGACACCGUGGCCUCCGAAAUGAACCGCCUCUACCAGCUCUUCCUCCAGAGGAACCCCCUCUUCAAAGGAGGGGUCUCCAUUGCGGGGCACAGCUUGGGGUCGCUGAUUUUGUUCGAUCUCCUGACAAACCAGAAGGCUGCUCCCGAGGAGGACGAGCACAGCCAGGAGGUACGUGGCAUCUGGUGGCAGCUGGAGGCCCCGGGUGCCCCCGUAGCCGUGCCAGGGCAGCCUCACACCGACCUCCCGCCUCUGCGGCUGCCUGGGGAGGGGGGAGAGACCCCAAAACGCACGGGAGAAAAUCAGCGAGCAAAAAGCAUCAUCCCUGACGGCUCUUUUCACAGGGGUCCAGGACAACCUCAAGCAACAGGGGCAUCGAGGCCGUAAAAGAAAUUCUGAAGAAGCUGGAGUUGUCCGAAUAUUGUGAUGUUUUCGAGAAGGAGAAAAUGGACAGGCAAGCGCUGGUGAGGAGCUCUCCUGCUUUGCUGCCUCUUGCUUGUCUCUUCUUUGUGCUUCUUCCCAGUCCUCCCACCCUCUGCACGUCUUCCCAGUCCUGAGUCACCGGCACAGGGAAUGUCUCUGAGGAGUGCAGCAGGAACAGAACUAUGGAGAACAGAAAUCCCUUCACUGCACACCCCUCUCUGCUCCCACACUCAUACCUGGGCUGCUUAUUUUCCAGUUCUUGUGCACGGAGAAGAACCUCAAAGAAAUGGGAAUUCCCUUAGGACCAAGAAUGAAGAUCCUUCAUUACAUCAGCUCCAAGGCGGAGAUGCAGGUUUGUCUUCUGCACGGCUCCUGCUCACCCAGGUCCAUCCUGUCGCUCCCAGACAAGGAGCAGCCCACGAUCAGUCCCCGAGGGCCCUGACCUCCUCCUCCUCAGCCAUCCUGGCUCGGGUGGCUC